ACCUGCAGAGCCACUGUCAGCCAGUGUCCCUGAGUGACCACACGGAGUGGAGCCACCCACCAGCCUGAACUGUCACAAACCACUGAUGUAAUUAGAAUUCUGGAACGCGAGGUCUCUUUGUUACAGCAGCUAGUGUCAGCUUAACCAACCCAGACUUGCACAUCUUGGUAUCCCCAGUGCCUCCAACGGAGCAUGGCUCUGUUAUCGACUCAAUGAUCAAAACGCAACACGUGUACCUGGGAAGCAGAGCUCCCCAGAAUGGCUCCCAGUUCUAGGAAAAACAAAAUAAAAUCUUACUCCUUAAUAUGAGGGGAAAAGGUCAGAAAGAAAUGGAAACACUGGAGUCAGCAAGUAUCUGGCCGAGCCAUCUGGAGGAUACAUACAAUCCAGACAAUAUCAGCAUACGAGGUCGUCAUCUGCUAUUUCUUCCGCCAGCAUUAUCUCCCUUCAUUUAAGAGCAGAACCCUCCCCGUUCCCUCAUCCCUGUGCGUAAACGCAGUAUGUUUAGGUGAGUUGGUCAGAUGACACAGAUUGAGCUGGCCCCCUUGCUCCCUGAAGGACAGGAGUGUCUUCUGAAUGCUGGGACGUCACUCGCCUGGAUGCUUGCCUUAACAAGAUGACAGCCACAGGACCUUCUGGUUGAUGACAGCUGAUGGCGCUCCUGGUUCCAGAGAAUAGAUCUGGCUGUCUAGAGGUGACAGAAAGCCCUAAAAUUCCCAAGUUUCAAGAAGUCCCUCCUUCCCCUAUUAAAAGGUCCACAGUGAUGUGGGAGCAUGCACUGUGACGCCCAAGGGCCCAGCCUGGCGUUGAGAAUCAAGAGCCCGCAGUGGAUACUGAGAAUCUGAUCAGUGUGGGGACACCUCCGUGCCUCACGGGCAUUCAAGAUGCCCACCCCGUAAGCCUCACACUCUCCCCUUUCCUGAAAUAACUACCAUUUCCAGUCAGGUGGCCAAUUCUAGUCACCAUUGACUGACGCUGUGAAUAUAAGCUCUUUUCUAGAAAAUACAUUCUAGGGGCACCUGGGUGGCUCAGUCAGUUAAA